rnacentral:rRNA from 1 species
AACGUAGGAGACAAACGUUAUCCGGAGUUACUGGGCGUAAAGGGCGUGUAGGUGGUUUUGUAAGUUCGGCGUGAAAUCUCUCGGCUUAACCGGGAGUGGUCGUCGGAUACUGCAAGACUAGAGGACGGUAGAGGCGUGUGGAAUUCCGGGUGUAGUGGUGAAAUGCGUAGAGAUCCGGAGGAACACCAGUGGCGAAGGCGACACGCUGGGCCGUACCUGACACUGAGGCGCGAUAGCAUGGGGAGCAAACAGG